GGCUGAUAGAACUACGAUUCAUUCCAGGAAGAGGAGCGGUUUGAGAGAGAUACUUGUUUACAACAGAGAACAUUUCUCAACCAGCAGUAUCGUCACAAUUAACCACGGUGUGGGUUGAAUAUUUGACCCAUUCAGCUGGGUUAAACAGUAUUCUCCCAGGUGAGUGCACACCUUCCUCCGGUUCUCUGCAGGAAGUCCAGACUCAGACUACAUUUGUUCACCAGAGUCUGAAACUCUACAGGUGACAUCAGCACCAUGAAGUUAGAUCGAAAGGUAAUGAAAAUAUUUCAACACUCAAAUGUGACAUGUAGUCUGUAGUUGUCAUGUAGUCCAACCGUUAGAGAGGAAAGCCCCGCCCACAUCAGGUUUUCAUAAUGCUGCAUUCAGGCUCCGUCAGACAUUUUGCACUUUAACUUUGAUAAAUCACUUUUCAAGUUCAAACGUAAACAAGCGAUAAUUUCCGAUUGUACCAUUUCAUAUAAUUCCUACAAUCAUAGUUUGGCACCAAUUGAACACAAGACAAAACUGUUUAUGAUGUAAUAAGGCGGGAAAAAGCAGAAAGUUGUAGAUUAAUUAGGCUACGGUAACAAAUGAUGUUCUCCUUUUUUUUUAUAAAUGCUUUAACUUCUUUUCGUUUAAUCAUUUCUCCUUUUUAACUUUGCUUUGAUUUUAAAGGCCACAUGCCAAACAAAGAGGAGAACACAGAUUUGAGUCAUGGUGGAAUCUAUCAAACUGUCAAAAGAUUAAAAGCAAAUGUGAAUGAAAAAAAUACAUUUCUAAACAGUUUAACCAAAGUCCUUGAAUGAAUUCAUUGUCAGAGGGUUUGCUUUGUUAUUUUGUGAUCCAAUGAUAUUUUAUCUAAUCAGACAUAUUUCUGGUGUUUCAUGUUAAUCUUCUCUAAAUAACAAACGUCUCUGCUGCUCUCUGAUUUCACCGUCAGUCGAUGUUGUUGCUCUCAGCCAGCGCAGCUCCAAGUCCUGAUGUGCUCCUUCCCAUGGGAAACAUCUGCAGACCCUAAAAAAGCUUCACAAGUCAACACCCAGCACACAUGACGGAGCUGCUGUGGAGCUCAGAAGAUGAAAGAAAUGCUCAGAGACUGAAGUACACAUUCUUAUUGGAGGAAUCCUAAGGUCUAAAGGAUGAGCAUAGUGCAGGGCAUUUUCCUUAUUUAGAAAAUGUCAACUUCUAUGAUUUCAAUAGGCCUUUAUUGGUCAUAAUGGGAAGAUGAUUCCCAUAAUAUGUUACAUAAAAUACAUUAUUUAGUGAGCUGUUAAAGGAGCAUGCAGCUUUGUGAUGACUUGUUAUGAAUUGUUGAACCACUGGGGUUGGAUCUCUGGUGUCUUAUAAACCCAUGAGUUGUCUUCAAAGAUUUUAAAAGCAGCCUAAAGGACCAUUUGACGACUGUAUCACAUGUUUCUCUGUUUAAAGCUCCUGAUUGGUUCAAUGAUGUAAUAUUUGUUUAUCGUCUGUCUUUUGUUCUCUGUCUGAAACUCUUGUAUGCUGCUGUCUUGGCCAGGACUCUCUGGUGUUGUAUCUCAAAGAGAAUCUCCUCCUGGUAAAAUAAAUGUCAAAUGAAAUGAAAUAAAUAAAAAUGAGGAUUGGG